rnacentral:rRNA from 1 species
CAGCAGCCGCGGUAAUACGGAGGGUGCAAGCGUUAUCCGGAUUUAUUGGGUUUAAAGGGUCCGUAGGCGGAUCUGUAAGUCAGUGGUGAAAUCUCACAGCUUAACUGUGAAACUGCCAUUGAUACUGCAGGUCUUGAGUAAAUUUGAAGUGGCUGGAAUAAGUAGUGUAGCGGUGAAAUGCAUAGAUAUUACUUAGAACACCAAUUGCGAAGGCAGGUCACUAAGAUUUAACUGACGCUGAUGGACGAAAGCGUGGGGAGCGAACAGGAUUAGAGACCCCCGUAGUCCCUGUCUCUUAUAU